UCAAGUGACUAAGUGCAUGUGGCGGAUGCCUUGGCGAUCACAGGCGAAGAAAGACGCGGCAGCCUGCGAAAAGCUGCGGGGAGCUGGCAAACGAGCUUUGAUCCGCAGAUAUCUGAAUGGGGGAACCCACACCGCAAGGUGUAUCCGUGACUGAAUACAUAGGUUACGGAGGCGAACGAGGAGAACUGAAACAUCUAAGUAUCCUCAGGAAAAGAAAUCAACCGAGAUUCCGGCAGUAGCGGCGAGCGAACCCGGAGGAGCCUAGCUUUUGAUAGUACGAACUUUAGCCGAAAGGUCCUGGAAAGGCCUGCUAUAGUGGGUGAUAGCCCCGUAGGCGAAAGAGUUCGUAUGGUACUAAGGAAGCGAGAAGUAGAGCGGGACACGUGGAAUCCUGUUCGAAGAUGGGGGGACCAUCCUCCAAGGCUAAAUACUCGUGAUCGACCGAUAGUGAACCAGUACCGUGAGGGAAAGGCGAAAAGAACCCCGGGAGGGGAGUGAAAUAGAACCUGAAACCGCAUGCAUACAAACAGUAGGAGCCUCGUCAGAGGUGACUGCGUACCUUUUGCAUAAUGGGUCAGCGACUUACAUUCUGUGGCGAGCUUAACCGAAUAGGGGAGGCGCAGCGAAAGCGAGUUCGAAAUGAGCGUCCAGUCGCAGGGUGUAGACCCGAAACCAGAUGAGCUAUCCAUGGCCAGGUUGAAGGUGUGGUAACACACACUGGAGGACCGAACCGACUAGUGUUGCAAAAUUAGCGGAUGAGCUGUGGAUAGGGGUGAAAGGCCAAACAAAUCUGGAGAUAGCUGGUUCUCCCCGAAAACUAUUGAGGUAGUGCCUCGUGUGUCGCUCCAGGGGGUAGAGCACUGUUUUGGCUAGGGGGACAUGGAGUCUUACCAAACCAAGGCAAACUCCGAAUACCUGGAAGCGUAAGCACGGGAGACAGAGCACCGGGUGCUAACGUCCGGACUCAAAAGGGAAACAACCCAGACCGCCGGCUAAGGUCCCCAAUAACAGCUAAGUGGAAAACGAAGUGGAAAGGCCGUGACAACCAGGAAGUUGGCUUAGAAGCAGCCAUCCUUCAAAGAAAGCGUAAUAGCUCACUGGUCGAGUCCUUCUGCGCGGAAGAUGUAACGGGGCUAAGCUGUUAACCGAAGCCGCGGAUGCACUGGUUAUCCAGUGCGUGGUAGGGGAGCGUUCUGUAAGUCUGCGAAGGCGGUUCGAGAGGACUGCUGGAGAUAUCAGAAGUGCGAAUGCUGACAUGAGUAACGUUAAAGCAGGUGAAAAGCCUGCUCGCCGUAAGCCCAAGGAUUCCUGCUCUACGUUCAUCGGAGCAGGGUGAGUCGGCUCCUAAGGUCAGGCCGAAAGGCGUAGCCGAUGGGAAUCAGGUUAAUAUUCCUGAACCUGCGUCAGAUGCGAUGGGGGGACGGAGCAUGAAAGAUCAUCCGGGUGUUGGAUGUCCCGGUUGACGAGCGUAGGAGGUCUGCAGGCAAAUCCGCAGACGCAUCUCCAAGGCGAAGUCACGUGCCGCCACGGCGGCGAAGUGAUCGGAAGUGCUUCCAAGAAAAGCCUCUAAGCACCAGUCUGGCGCGGACCGUACCGCAAACCGACACUGGUGGGCGAGCUGAAUAUGCUCAGGCGCUUGAGAGAACUCGGGAGAAGGAACUCGGCAAAUUGACACCGUAACUUCGGAAGAAGGUGUGCCGUAGUACCGUGAGAGGAGAGACACCUUGAGCGGGAAUCGGUCUCAGAGAAUAGGUGGCUGCGACUGUUUAUUAAAAACACAGCACUCUGCAAAGUCGAAAGACGACGUAUAGGGUGUGAUGCCUGCCCGGUGCUGGAAGAUUAAUUGAUGGGGUGAGAGCCCUUGAUCGAAGUCCCAGUAAACGGCGGCCGUAACUAUAACGGUCCUAAGGUAGCGAAAUUCCUUGUC
rnacentral:rRNA from 1 species